rnacentral:rRNA from 1 species
UACGAAGGGUGCAAGCGUUACUCGGAAUUACUGGGCGUAAAGCGUGCGUAGGUGGUUCGUUAAGUCUGUCGUGAAAGCCCCGGGCUCAACCUGGGAAUGGCGAUGGAUACUGGCGGGCUAGAGUGCGGUAGAGGAGAGUGGAAUUCCCGGUGUAGCAGUGAAAUGCGUAGAGAUGUGGAGGAACACCGAUGGCGAAGGCAGCCUCCUGGGCCAGCACUGACGCUCAUGUACGAAAGCGUGGGGAGCAAACAGG